rnacentral:rRNA from 1 species
AUUGAACGCUGGCGGCAGGCCUAACACAUGCAAGUCGAGCGAGCGGCGGACGGGUGAGUAAUGUCUGGGGAACUGCCUGAUGGAGGGGGAUAACUACUGGAAACGGUAGCUAAUACCGCAUACCAUCGGAUGUACCCAUAUGGGAUUAGCUAGUAGGUGGGGUAAAGGCUCACCUAGGCGACGAUCCCUAGCUGGUCUGAGAGGAUGAUCAGCCACACUGGGACUGAGACACGGUCCAGACUCCUACGGGAGGCAGCAGUGGGGAAUAUUGCACAAUGGGCGCAAGCCUGAUGCAGCCAUGCCGCGUGUGUGAAGAAGGCCUUAGGGUUGUAAAGUACUUUCAGCGGGGAGGCGUUACCCGCAGAAGAAGCACCGGCUAACUCCGUGCCAGCAGCCGCGGUAAUUC